rnacentral:rRNA from 1 species
AUGGCUUCCACCUGCAACAGCUCCUCAUCGUUCAAGAUCAUACUCGGGUCGUCGUCGCCGGCGCGCCGCGCGAUCCUGUCAGACAUGGGAUACGAGUUCACCGUCAUGAGCGCUGACAUCGACGAGAGGGCCAUCAGGAGGGAGAAGCCGGAGGAGCUAGUCAAAGCCUUGGCCGAAGCCAAGGCCGACACCAUUCAACUGAACCUUCGUAAUCGAGACAGCAGAGAUCUGCCUACCCUUCUGAUCACUUCUGACCAGGUUAAGGUGAGCAAAGGGGUGAUACGGGAGAGGCCGACAAGCACGGAGGAAGCCAGGGAAUUCAUCAAGGGGUACUCGGGUGAUGUAGCGUUUGCAGUGAACUAUGUUCUGGUGACCAACCUGAGCACCGGGGGUAGGAAAGGAGGUUGGGAUAUACCUGAGAUCUAUUUUCACCACAUACCAGACGAGUUCAUAGAAAAAGUCGUGAAGGAAGGAGGCAUGACUUGCGUGGCUGGGGGCCUUAGGCUGAUGCAUCCAUCAGCUUUGCCCUUCAUCAAGGAACUAGUCGGUACGAUGGAUAGUGUUCGAGGACUUCCAAGGAACCUCACCGAGAAGCUCAUUCGAGAAUCACUACAAGAAACUGUUGGAAUGUAG